rnacentral:misc_RNA from 1 species
AAGUCGUAACAAGGUCUCCGUAGGUGAACCUGCGGAGGGAUCAUUAACACUAUUUGGCUAGUAUCACUGAGUAUUUCGAAAGAGAGAAAACGUGAUGUUAGUUCAGAUUUUCACACACCUGUCGAACUCGGUUACCUUUUGUGUAACCAAUCCCCGCCGCUGUUUCUUCUAAGUAGGUUGUUGUAGUGACGAAGUGAGCCCCUCAUACUAGUUAUGGGAAUGGCGACUGGGCAACUUUGCUUUGAAACGGUAAGUAGAAAUUUUUGGUGACGUUACACUUCAAAACGUCUCGUCCCCCUUUUGCCACUUUUUCACCCGAAUUAAGCCAUAUAGACUGAUUUAACGAAGUAUAUCGAAAGGUGUAUCUUCGUCAUAGAUAUAAAAACUAAGCACAACUCUUAGCAACGGAUAUCUUGGUUCUC